AGCAUGCGAAGCCACUUGUCCUUUCUUACUAGGGUCCUCAGACUGUUGACGCGUCCUUCCAAGGAACUGAUAAGCCCAGGCCCCUAGGACGGGAUGCUAGGACUCCAGUGUGGGGCCUUGCUGUGAACCCCUUCCCAAGUGUUUGCUUCCCUGAUGGGCCUUUGCCAAAAGGCCCUCUUGACACCGAAAAGGAUGACGACUCAGGUUCUGCGGCAGCCAAUGCCCCUCCCCCAACUCUCUGCACUCACUGGUGGGGGCCACGGUCAAGGAAGCAAGUAUCCCGAAUUGACAGCUUGGUGCAGAGGGGACAUGCGAGGUGUCUCUAUCCUGAG
rnacentral:lncRNA from 1 species